AACAAACGCUGGCGGCGUGCCUAAUACAUGCAAGUCGAACGGGGAAAGCUUUUGGGUGAGUACUAGUGGCGCGGGUGAGUAACGCGUGGAUAAUCUGCCUUAGAGUGGGGGAUAACUAGUCGAAAGAUUAGCUAAUACCGCAUAAGACCACAAGAACUGCGGUUCAAGAGGUCAAAGGUUUUUCGCUCUAAGGUGAGUCCGCGUAAGAUUAGCUAGUUGGUGAGGUAACGGCUCACCAAGGCAACGAUCUUUAACUGGUCUGAGAGGAUGAUCAGUCACACUGGAACUGAGACACGGUCCAGACUCCUACGGGAGGCAGCAGUAGGGAAUAUUGCACAAUGGAGGAAACUCUGAUGCAGCGACGCCGCGUGAGUGAUGAAGGCCUUCGGGUCGUAAAGCUCUGUCGCAGGGGAAUAACACAAUGAAUGUACCCUGUAAGAAAGGAUCGGCUAACUUCGUGCCAGCCGCCGCAGUAAUAC
rnacentral:rRNA from 1 species